UACGAAGGGUGCAAGCGUUACUCGGAAUUACUGGGCGUAAAGCGUGCGUAGGUGGUUUGUUAAGUCUGUUGUGAAAGCCCCGGGCUCAACCUGGGAAUGGCAAUGGAUACUGGCAGGCUAGAGUGCGGUAGAGGGUAGUGGAAUUCCCGGUGUAGCGGUGAAAUGCGUAGAGAUCGGGAGGAACACCAGUGGCGAAGGCGGCUCACUGGCCCGGUACUGGACGCCUGGAGG
rnacentral:rRNA from 1 species